UACGUAGGGUGCGAGCGUUGUCCGGAAUUACUGGGCGUAAAGAGCUCGUAGGUGGUUUGUCGCGUUGUUCGUGAAAACUCAACAGCUUAACUGUGGGCGUGCGGGCGAUACGGGCAGACUGGAGUACUGCAGGGGAGACUGGAAUUCCUGGUGUAGCGGUGGAAUGCGCAGAUAUCAGGAGGAACACCGGUGGCGAAGGCGGGUCUCUGGGCAGUAACUGACGCUGGAGGAGCGAAAGCGUGGGGAGCGAACAGG
rnacentral:rRNA from 1 species